AGAGUUUGAUCAUGGCUCAGAACGAACGCUGGCGGCGCGCCUAAUACAUGCAAGUCGAGCGAGAAGACGUAGCAAUACGUUUGUAAAGCGGCGAACGGGUGAGGAAUACAUGGGUAAUCUACCCUCGAGUGGGGAAUAACUAGCCGAAAGGUUAGCUAAUACCGCAUACGACUCUCGGUCUGCGGAUCGGGAGAGAAAGCGAUACCGUGGGUAUCGCGCUCCUGGAUGGGCUCAUGUCCUAUCAGCUUGUUGGUGAGGUAACGGCUCACCAAGGCUUCGACGGGUAGCUGGUCUGAGAGGACGAUCAGCCACACUGGCACUGCGACACGGGCCAGACUCCUACGGGAGGCAGCAGUAAGGAAUAUUGCGCAAUGGGCGACAGCCUGACGCAGCGACGCCGCGUGGGGGAUGAAGGUCUUCGGAUUGUAAACCCCUUUCGGCAGGGAAGAUGGAACGGGAAACCGUUCGGACGGUACCUGCAGAAGCAGCCACGGCUAACUUCGUGCCAGCAGCCGCGGUAAUACGAAGGUGGCAAGCGUUGUUCGGAUUUACUGGGCGUACAGGGAGCGUAGGCGGUUGGGUAAGCCCUUCGUGAAAUCUCCGGGCCUAACCCGGAAAGUGCGGAGGGGACUGCUCGGCUAGAGGAUGGGAGAGGAGCGCGGAAUUCCCGGUGUAGCGGUGAAAUGCGUAGAGAUCGGGA
rnacentral:rRNA from 1 species